rnacentral:rRNA from 1 species
AUUGAACGCUGGCGGCAGGCCUAACACAUGCAAGUCGAACGGUAACAGGAAACAGCUUGCUGUUUCCCGGACGAGAGGGGGACGUGUUGGUAAGGUAUCUGAAACUGCCUGAGGGAUUGGGAUAACUACUGGGAACGAUAACUAAUACCGCCUAAAGUCGCAAAGCGAGAGAUCUGGGCCUUCUCGCCUCUUGCCCGCGUCUAUGCCCAGAUGGGAUUAGCUAGUGGGUGGGGUAACGGCUCACCUCGGCGACGAUCCCUAGCUGGUCUGAGAGGAUGACCAGCCACACUGGAACUGAGACACGGUCCAGACUCCUACGGGAGGCAGCAGUGGGGAAUAUUGGACAAUGGGCGAAAGCCUGAUCCAGCCAUGCCGCGUGUAUGAAGAAGGCCUUCGGGUUGUAAAGCACUUUCAGUGGGGAGGAAGGGCAGUAAGUUAAUACCUUGCUGUAUUGACGUUACCAACAGAAGAAGCACCGGCUAACUUCGUG